GGACAUCUUGUGAGGUGGGGUUCGUGUUGACAUUCAAAAUCUCUCUCCAAACUGAUGUUUAUAGCAUGGUUACCAACAGCAGCUUUAAGCAGAGUUCCUUGAAGAACGCAGCCUCUUUGGGCUGCUCCGAGUAUCUCUCAAACUGGUCCAAACCAUCCUGCAGUUUGAGGGUCAGUGUGUCGUAGUUGGACCGAACCACCUCCAGGACCUGGUGGGAUGAGAGAGAAGGGAAACAGAAGAUUUAUGUAACUCCCCAGAUGUCGGGUCAACUGGAUGUUUCAACACGACAAGUCGUCUGCAAAUAAAUGAAUAUGUCAUGUG